UAUUGGUCAAUGGGCUUACGCCUGAACCAGCCAAGUCGCGUGAGGGAAGACUGCCCUAUGGGUUGUAAACCUCUUUUGUCAGGGAGCAAUUGGCGCUACGUGUAGCGUUAUCGAGAGUACCUGAAGAAAAAGCAUCGGCUAACUCCGUGCCAGCAGCCGCGGUAAUACGGAGGAUGCGAGCGUUAUCCGGAUUUAUUGGGUGUAACGGGUGCGCAGGCGGUCUGUUAAGUCAGCGGUCAAAGCCCGGGGCUCAACCCCGGCCCGCCGUUGAAACUGGCAGUCUCGAGUUGGAGAGAAGUAUGCGGAAUGCGCGGUGUAGCGGUGAAAUGCAUAGAUAUCGCGCAGAACUCCAAUUGCGAAGGCAGCAUGCCGGCUCCACACUGACGCUGAGGCACGAAAGCGUGGGUAUCG
rnacentral:rRNA from 1 species